rnacentral:rRNA from 1 species
GAUGAACGCUAGCUAUAGGCUUAACACAUGCAAGUCGAGGGACCGGCGCACGGGUGAGUAACGCGUAUCCAACCUGCCCAUAACUAAGGGAUAACCCAGCGAAAGUUGGACUAAUACCUUAUGGUUAUGGAUGGGGAUGCGUCUGAUUAGCUUGUUGGCGGGGUAACGGCCCACCAUGGCAACGAUGAGUAGGGGUUCUGAGAGGAAGGUCCCUGACAUUGGAAGUGAGACGAUGUCCAAACGCGUACGGGAGGCAGCAGUGGGGGGUAUUUGUCAAUGGACGCAAGUGUGAACCAGCCAAGUAGCGUGCAGGAUGACGGGCUAUGGGUUGUAAACUGCGUUUAUGUGGGGGGGGGGACCAUAUGAAUAAGGACCGGCUAAUUCCGUGCCAGCAGGCGGGGUAAUUG